GUAGACUUCUUUAAGUGCUGCUGCACCCACGUGGGUGACUGAAAGACGAAUGAGGUCAGUGGCGGUAAUGCACCUAAUUUAUGAAAGUUGCCAAUCGCAAUGUAAAGUCAAGAGAAGAAAAAGCAUGGAAGGAAGAGAGAUGACUAGAAAUGAUUCGGUUGACCGUUUUAUGUGUGGAUUAAUUGGCGGAGUAGCGGACCUUGUGCUUUCAGCCCUAGGACCUGGCCUGAUGACUCCUUGCUGACCCCAGUUCACCGGACGUGCUACCUGUCCCAGACCUGCUGUUUUCAACUCUCUAGAGACAGCAGAUGCGGUAGAGAUACUCUGAAUGAUCAGCUAUGAAAAGCCAACUGACAUUUACUCCUGAAGUGCUGACCUGUUGCACCCUCUACAAACACUGUGAUUAUUAUUAUUUGACCCUGCUGGUCAUCUAUGAACAUUUGAACAUCUUGGCCAUGUUCUGUUAUAAUCUCCACCCGGCACAGCCAGAAGAGGACUGGCCACCCCUCAUAGCCUGGUUCCUCUCUAGGUUUCUUCCUAGGUUCUGGCCUUUCUUGGGAGUUUUUCCUAGCCACCAUGCUUCUACACCUGCAUUGCUUGCUGUUUGGGGUUUUAGGCUGGGUUUUUGUGCACUUUGUGACAUCAGCUGAUGCCCACCCAUUCUCUGCUUGAGUCACAAAGAGAUCGGCACGUGGACCUACUACAGAACGUGAGUGAUGAUGCAGCAUUGUGG
rnacentral:lncRNA from 1 species